rnacentral:lncRNA from 1 species
UUAAUACUUUCUGCCACUAAAAAAUGUUUGUUGCCAAUGCAUUCAAAUACAUUCUGCGACCAAAUUAUUGGUGGGGGAAGAUAGACAUUCAGUGACCAUUUUUUUGGUAGCGGAAGACAAACCUUCCACGACCAACUAUUUGGUCGGUGUUGAAAUUAGCGACAACAGAUUUGGUCGCUGAUAAUUUUCUUUGGCAACCAAAUGUUGGUCGUUGUUGGUGUACCUUAGGUGACCACACAAUAUUGGUCGCCAAAACCUUUCAGUGACUAGGGUUCGGCG